UCGUGAGUAGCCCAUGACCACAGGUGUGCACAGAUUUCGCGUCGUCAUGGAUGUCAACAUGUGCAAUGACCCAUGUCAAAAUCAUCAAAACGAUGGGCAUGUACAGUGGUGCUAUACAGGGGUACAAAGUUGGGCGUGUAUGGAGUGGGAUUAUUGAAAACGUAUUAACAAAGAGCAUGCGGGCAUCACUGACAGGAUUUAGUGGCGUCGUGAGUGUCUACACAUCUGAUGGCUCAUGUCAAGGUAUAUCAGAAACGACGGGCAUGUACAGGGGUACAAAGUUGGGCGUGCAUGGAGUGGGAUUUGAAAACGUAUUAACAAAAAGCAUGCGGGCGUGACUGACGGGAUUUAGUGGCGUCGUGAGUGUCGACACAUCUGAUGGCUCAUGUCAAGGUACAUCAAAAGCGACAGGCGUGUAGAGUGGUGCCAUAAAGGGGUACAAAGCUGCGUGUACAUACAGUGGCAUUGUGAA